ACAGCAAUAUCAUGUGGAAACACCAGUUCUCGUAUGAUCACUGAAGUUAAGCAACGUCGAGCUUGGUCAGUACCUUGAUGGGUGACAGCUUGGGAAUACCAGGUGCUGUAAG